UACGUAGGGGGCAAGCGUUAUCCGGAUUUACUGGGUGUAAAGGGAGCGUAGACGGCAGAGCAAGUCCGGAGUGAAAGCCCGGGGCCCAACCCCGGGACUGCUCUGGAAACUGUUAAGCUGGAGUGCGGGAGGGGCAGGCGGAAUUCGUGGUGUAGCGGUGAAAUGCAUAGAUAUCACGCAGAACUCCGAUUGCGAAGGCAGCAUACCGGCGCCCGACUGACGCUGAAGCACGAAAGCGUGGGUAUCGAACAGG
rnacentral:rRNA from 1 species